GUGGGGAAUCUUCCGCAAUGGACGAAAGUCUGACGGAGCAACGCCGCGUGAGUGAAGAAGGUUUUCGGAUCGUAAAGCUCUUUCGUUAGGGACGAACGUGCUCUUUGUGAAUAAUGAGGAGUAAUGACGGUACCUAAAUAAGAAGCCACGGCUAACUACGCGCCAGCAGCCGCGGUAAUACGUAGGUGGCAAGCGUUGUCCGGAAUUAUUGGGCGUAAAGCGCGCGCAGGCGGGAUAUCAAGUCUGUCUUAAAAGUGCGAGGCUCAACCUCGUGAGGGGACAGAAACUGGUAUUCUUGAGUGUCGGAGAGGAAAGUGGAAUUCCAAGUGUAGCGGUGAAAUGCGUAGAGAUUUGGAAGAACACCAGUGGCGAAGGCGACUUUCUGGACGAUGUCUGACGCUGAGGCGCGAAAGCUAGGGGAGCGAACGGGAUUAGAAACCCCAGUAGUCC
rnacentral:rRNA from 1 species